rnacentral:rRNA from 1 species
GAUGAACGCUGGCGGCGUGCCUAAUACAUGCAAGUCGAGCGAACAGAUGAGGAGCUUGCUCCUCUGACGUUAGCGGCGAACGGGUGAGUAACACGUGGAUAACCUACCUAUAAGACUGGGAUAACUUCGGGAAACCGGAGCUAAUACCGGAUAAUAUAUUGAACCGCAUGGUUCAAUAGUGAAAGACGGUUUUGCUGUCACUUAUAGAUGGAUCCGCGCCGCAUUAGCUAGUUGGUAAGGUAACGGCUUACCAAGGCAACGAUGCGUAGCCGACCUGAGAGGGUGAUCGGCCACACUGGAGCUGAGACACGGUCCAGACUCCUGCGGGAGGCAGCAGUAGGGAAUCUUACGCAAUGGGCGAAAGCCUGACGGAGCAACGCGGCGUGAGUGAUGAAGGUCUUCGGAUCGUAAAACUCUGUUAUUAGGGAAGAACAAAUGUGUAAGUAACUAUGCACGUAUUGACGGUACCUAAUCAGAAAGCCACGGCUAACUACGUG